rnacentral:rRNA from 1 species
AUUGAACGCUGGCGGCGUGCUUUACACAUGCAAGUCGAACGGUAACAGGCCGCAAGGUGCUGACGAGUGGCGAACGGGUGAGUAAUGCAUCGGAACGUGCCCAGUCGUGGGGGAUAACGCAGCGAAAGCUGCGCUAAUACCGCAUACGAUCUAUGGAUGAAAGCGGGGGACCGUAAGGCCUCGCGCGAUUGGAGCGGCCGAUGUCAGAUUAGGUAGUUGGUGGGGUAAAGGCUCACCAAGCCGACGAUCUGUAGCUGGUCUGAGAGGACGACCGGCCACACGGGGACUGGGACACGGCCCAGACUCCUACGGGAGGCAGCAGUGGGGAAUUUUGGACAAUGGGCGCAAGCCUGAUUCAGCAAUGCCGCGUGCAGGAAGAAGGCCUUCGGGUUGUAAACUGCUUUUGUACGGAACGAAAAGGCUCUGGUUAAUACCCGGGGCUCAUGACGGUACCGUAAGAAUAAGCACCGGCUAACUACGUGCCAGCCGCCGCAGUAAGAC